rnacentral:lncRNA from 1 species
AUGACAAACAUUAAGGGGUUGAAUGAGAAAAGAUACUCAAGAGCAAUCUCUACAUCUUAUGAGAUUUUAGAGAAGAUCAUUCUCUAAAUUAUUCACAACUUCAUAUUUCCAUCAACAAUUCUAAACACCCUGAUACCCGGUGUGAUCUCGGGCGUGAGUGCCAUCUCCGGCAGUACACAUACUGUUCCGGUUGUUGUACCCUGGGAGACAGACCGUCUGAGAGGAGGCGCGGAAUCUGUUUUAAGGGAAGCGUGUCGAACACGUGCCUCAACCAAAAGCGUCAACCAUAUUUUGCUUGUCUUGCAGCGGAGUUUCGUACAAGAAGGUGCGGUUGUAGUUCUUCUAAAGACAUCGACUUGGAUCAAGAUUGGUACAAUUAAAUUGUAUAUUCCUUUUAUUUACUUAGUUUAUGUAACCGGUAUUGUACUAGAAUAGUUUCCCACAAAUAACGAUAGUCUCGUUAUUAUAUAUUUUGUAAUAUAUUUUAAUAAAAAGUGAACCUAGUUCCUACAAUCUUAAAACAGACUUUCGUGAAGAUUGUUGCUACAAUCUUAAAUCCCUUCUCUACGAGAAUUUAGGUUCACGAAAGUUAAAAUUUUAAUUGAGAUUUUGCUAAAAUCUUAUAAAUAUUUUGGGAAAUAUUUAUUUAGUACAAUGAGUCGGAUUAAUUUUGAUGAUUGGAGUACAAUCUUUAAUCCGAAUACCGUGUUAUAAAACCGUACAAUUCGAUUCAAAAAGAUAAUGGGUUUUGUUCAUGUUUAGAUAACACGAACUUUAUACAAAAAUUAAUAUGUAUUUCGAAUGGUUGGAAUACUAAUUUUUCUAAUGAGCGAAUUAGAAAUUGGUAAUUUUUGUAAGCCCAUAAAAUGUGUAUGAACCAUGGAAAUUCUCUAAGGAGAAUGUUAGAUGUAAUUUGGUAAAAUAAUAGUGGUUUCAAAUGUCUUGAAACACAUAUAUUUUCUAAUGAGUGUAUUAGAAAAUAUUUAUU